GUGGGGAAUUUUGGACAAUGGGCGAAAGCCUGAUCCAGCCAUGCCGCGUGCAGGAUGAAGGCCUUCGGGUUGUAAACUGCUUUUGUACGGAACGAAAAGCCUCUUUCUAAUAAAGAGAGGUCAUGACGGUACCGUAAGAAUAAGCACCGGCUAACUACGUGCCAGCAGCCGCGGUAAUACGUAGGGUGCGAGCGUUAAUCGGAAUUACUGGGCGUAAAGCGUGCGCAGGCGGUGAUGUAAGACAGAUGUGAAAUCCCCGGGCUCAACCUGGGAACUGCAUUUGUGACUGCAUCGCUGGAGUGCGGCAGAGGGGGAUGGAAUUCCGCGUGUAGCAGUGAAAUGCGUAGAUAUGCGGAGGAACACCGAUGGCGAAGGCAAUCCCCUGGGCCUGCACUGACGCUCAUGCACGAAAGCGUGGGGAGCAAACAGGAUUAGAUACCCUGGUAGUCC
rnacentral:rRNA from 1 species